AGCAGCCGCGGUAAUUCCAGCUCCAAUAGCGUAUAUUAAAGUUGUUGCAGUUAAAAAGCUCGUAGUUGAAUUUCGGGAUCAAUUUGUUGGUCGUGCCUUGGUACGUACUGGCAUUAUUGGUUUCUCCCUUCUGAGAAUCCUUGAUGUCAUUAAUUUGGUGUCUUGGGGAAUCAGGACUGUUACCUUGAAAAAAUUAGGGUGUUUAAAGCAGGCAUACGCUUGAAUACAUUAGCAUGGAAUAAUGAAAUAGGACAUUCGAUUCUAUUUUGUUGGUUUCUAGGAUCGAUGUAAUGAUUAAUAGGGAUAGUUGGGGGCAUUAGUAUUCAAUUGUCAGAGGUGAAAUUCUUGGAUUUAUUGAAGACUAACUACUGCGAAAGCAUUUGCCAAGGAUGUUUUCAUUAAUCAAGAACGAAAGUUAGGGAUCGAAGACGAUCAGAUACCGUCGUAGUCUUAACCAUAAACUAUAGCCGACUAGGGAUCGGAUGAUGUUUAAUUUUUAUGUACUCAUUCGGCGUAACCG
rnacentral:rRNA from 1 species